rnacentral:tRNA from 1 species
GGGCUGAUGGUGUAGUGGUAUCACGUUCGCUUCGCAUGCGAAAGGUCUCGGGUUCAAUUCCCGAUUAGUCCA